CAGCAACUUCCGGACGCUUUCUUUAAGUUAAAGCCACACGGCGGUUCCGGUCUCUUAGCCACGGGGAUAGCUCUAAGGUCUGCCCUGCGCAGGACAGCAGACAGCGUGAGCUUCUACAUACAACCUUUCCCCCAAGCCUCUGAAUAAAGUGCUUCAACAA